ACCUCGGAGUCUCCAUGGAACUGCUCGUACAUUCAAGGGUACACUGCCUUGGUUUUCCCUGAAACUUGUGAACCUCUAAAGGAAAGCGUCUACCCCAAGCAUUAUUCUGAUUGUUACCAUCUAUCGAAUCAUUUGCAUAGUUCAGCCCGUCGUCACCUCACCGGGGAAACGAUGACCAAAAUACGAAGUUGACUGGAGUAGCUUGUGGUUGUCCAUUUGUUAGAAAAGAUUGUUUCUUGUAAGUUUGCUUGCAGUAACAAAUAAUUGAGUGAUUUGUUAGAAAAAUGAAGCUUAUGUCUUCUUUCAAAGGCAUUUUCCCCACUA